UACCCGCGUAGUCCAGGGUGUAAACGCUGCAGACUUGGUGUUGGGAACCCGUUCGGGGGUGCUCAGUGCCGGAGAGAAGUUGUUAAGUCUGCUACGUUGGGGAGUACGUCCGCAAGGAUAGAAACUUAAAGGAAUUGGCGGGGGAGCACCGCAACGGGAGGAGCGUGCGGUUUAAUUGGAUUCAACACCGUAAAACUCACCAGGGAAGACUGUUACAUGAAGGCCGAGAUGAAGACUCUGCUAGAUUUUCAG
rnacentral:rRNA from 1 species